AGUGAACGCUGGCGGUAGGCCUAACACAUGCGAGUCGAACGGCAGCACAGUAAGAGCUUGCUCUUACGGGUGGCGAGUGGCGGACGGGUGAGGAAUACAUCGGAAUCUACUUUUUCGUGGGGGAUAACGUAGGGAAACUUACGCUAAUACCGCAUACGACCUACGGGUGAAAGCAGGGGAUCUUCGGACCUUGCGCGAUUGAAUGAGCCGAUGUCGGGUUAGCUAGUUGGCGGGGUAAAGGCCCACCAAGGCGACGAUCCGUAGCUGGUCUGAGAGGAUGGUCAGCCACACUGGAACUGAGACACGGUCCAGACUCCUACGGGAGGCAGCAGUGGGGAAUAUUGGACAAUGGGCGCAAGCCUGAUCCAGCCAUACCGCGUGGGUGAAGAAGGCCUUCGGGUUGUAAAGCCCUUUUGUUGGGAAAGAAAAGCAGCAGGUUAAUACCCCGCUGUUCUGACGGUACCCAAAGAAUAAGCACCGGCUAACUUCGCG
rnacentral:rRNA from 1 species